GCUGACACAUCCUGGCCAAUCUCCAGCAGACCCUCCCUCCCAGACCCUCCCACCUCCUGGACAGCAUCCAUGUUGAAGGCAGCUUCAACAUGGAUGCUGUCCAGGAGGUGGGAGGGUCUGGGAGGGAGGGUCUGCUGGAGAUUGGCCGGGAUGUGUCAG